GGAUUGUAUGUGCUCCUUUUCUCCGACAGAGAGAGCAAAUCAACAGGACCUGAAGGCAGAUGAGAAGAAGCCUCUUCAGUAAGUUUCCAUGCAACAGAUUUAUGGAAACUCAUCGGCAGCCUCAUGGGCAACACAGGUAUGCACCUGUCUAUCAAGACAAUAACUUUCUUCAGGAGAGGAACAAACCCUUAGAACAGUUGCAAUGGUGAAUUGGUCCGGCAACAGUCCACUCUGUAAUAAAUCAACAAGCCUCCUUAAAGAAUAUUCCUCUAAACCACUCAUAGCACAGUCAGUUCUAGCCGGUUAAAAUAGCAUAAACGUGAAGAGUCUCGGAAGCAGAUGGGGAAACAUAGAGGAGGCACAACUUGAAGAAGUGGAGUUGACAAUGGAUCUUUGAGCAGAUAACAAGGGUUGGCAAAU